AACCGGCGCAGUGCGCAUGCGCGGUGGGCAAAGCCCAGCGGCUGUAUCGCAUGCCAAUGAGGCGGACGCGGCGGGGUACGGGCCCCGGUGGUCGACGAGGAGCCGCUGUCCCCGUCGGGUAGCGGCCGCCUUAUUAUCGAGCCGGCACACACAGGCACACGCCCUGCGUACGGGGGAGCUGUAGUUAAAGGGCGCGCAGCUGUUGGGAGGAGGCCCUGGACGCAGAGACUAGAAGACAUCAGUACAUUAUGAUACAGAUGAAGUGUUACAAGAGGCCAAGGAACUACAAGAUGCUGCUCUAGACUGUAACUUGUCCCUGCCAAUAGGAACUUGAAGUAACUGACCAAACUUUCAGAAUCUAGAAGAAUGGAAAUACUUGAUAUAUAAAAUAAAUACAAUAUAGGUUACACACUAAAAA